rnacentral:rRNA from 1 species
GACGAACGCUGGCGGCGUGCUUAACACAUGCCAGUCGAACGGAAAGGCCCUGCUUUUGUGGGGUGCUCGAGUGGCGAACGGGUGAGUAACACGUGAGUAACCUGCCCUUGACUUUGGGAUAACUUCAGGAAACUGGGGCUAAUACCGGAUAGGAGCUCCUGCUGCAUGGUGGGGGUUGGAAAGUUUCGGCGGUUGGGGAUGGACUCGCGGCUUAUCAGCUUGUUGGUGGGGUAGUGGCUUACCAAGGCUUUGACGGGUAGCCGGCCUGAGAGGGUGACCGGCCACAUUGGGACUGAGAUAGGGCCCAGAAUCCUACGGGAGGCAACAGUGGAGAGUAUUGCACAAUGGGCGGAAGCCUGAUGCAGCAACGCCGCGUGCGGGAUGACGGCCUUCGGGUUGUAAACCAAUUUCGCCGGUGACGAAGCGUGAGUGACGGUAAUGGGUAAAGAAGCACCGGCUAACUACGUG